AGCGAACGCUGGCGGCAUGCUUAACACAUGCAAGUCGCACGGGCAGUAGCAAGUACUGUCAGUGGCGGACGGGUGAGUAACGCGUAGGAAUCUAUCCUUGAAUGGGGGACAACCGUGGGAAACUACGGCUAAUACCGCAUGAUGCCUGAGGGCCAAAGACGAAAGUCGUUUGAGGAGGAGCCUGCGUCUGAUUAGGUAGUUGGUGGGGUAAAGGCCUACCAAGCCCUACGAUCAGUAGCUGGUCUGAGAGGAUGAUCAGCCACAUUGGGACUGAGACACGGCCCAAACUCCUACGGGAGGCAGCAGUGGGGAAUAUUGGACAAUGGGCGCAAGCCUGAUCCAGCAAUGCCGCGUGGGUGAAGAAGGUCUUCGGAUUGUAAAGCCCUUUUGGCGGGGACGAUGAUGACGGUACCCGCAGAAUAAGCUCCGGCUAACUUCGUG
rnacentral:rRNA from 1 species